UACAGGAGGUGCGAGCGUUGUCCGGAAUCACUGGGCGUAAAGGGCGCGUAGGCGGUCUGCUAGCGUGGUGGUGAAAGCCCGGGGCUCAACCCCGGGUCGGCCGUGCGAACGUGGCGGACUGGAGCGUUGUACAGAGGCAGGCGGAAUUCCGGGUGUAGCGGUGGAAUGCGUCAGAGAGUCCGGAAGAACGACCGGUGGCGAAGGCGGCCUGCUGGGACAGUGCUGACGGCUGAGGCGCGACAGCGUCGGGGAG
rnacentral:rRNA from 1 species